UACGAAGGGGGCUAGCGUUGCUCGGAAUCACUGGGCGUAAAGCGCACGUAGGCGGCUUGUUAAGUCAGGGGUGAAAUCCUGGAGCUCAACUCCAGAACUGCCUUUGAUACUGGCGAUCUCGAGUCCGGGAGAGGUGAGUGGAACUGCGAGUGUAGAGGUGAAAUUCGUAGAUAUUCGCAAGAACACCAGUGGCGAAGGCGGCUCACUGGCCCGGUACUGACGCUGAGGUGCGAAAGCGUGGGAGCAAACAGG
rnacentral:rRNA from 1 species